rnacentral:lncRNA from 1 species
CGUGUUUUUAACCUGUUUCUUUUUUAGUCCACGAUGAUGUAAUUCUCUCGUUUUUGUUAUUUUUACCUGUGUCCCGAUUCAAAAAGACGUAUACCUGAUGAUUUCUACGUGCAACUGAAUCAGAGGGGACGAUCAGCGAAGAUUUAUUUUAUUUCCGAGUCACCUUUAGGAGGGUUGACAAAAAAAGAGAAUCAGUACAGAAUAGUGGGACAUUG